AGAUUGAACGCUGGCGGCAUGCCUUACACAUGCAAGUCGAACGGCAGCACGGGAGCAAUCCUGGGUGGCGAGUGGCGAACGGGUGAGUAAUAUAUCGGAACGUGCCCAGUCGUGGGGGAUAACGCAGUGAAAGCUGUGCUAAUACCGCAUACGAUCUAUGGAUGAAAGUCGGGGGACUCGCAAGAGCCUCGCGCGAUUGGAGCGGCGAUAUCAGAUUACGCGUUAGGUUGGGUAGGGGGUAAAACGCCCCGAACCGAAGGCGACGAUUCCGUGUAGCUGGUCUGGAGACGGACGACCCAGCCCAC
rnacentral:rRNA from 1 species